UUGCCUGUUUUUACAAAAACAUGUCUGUAUGGGGAUUUAUAAAGUUUGGCCUGCCCCCUGGGAUAAAACUAAAGGGCCGCGGUAUUCUAACCGUGCGAAGGUAGCAUAGUCCUUAGUUUUUUUAUUGGGGGGUUGUAUGAAGGGUUGAACCAGAGGCCAACUGUUUUGGAAACAAAAUUUGAAAUUAACUUUUAAGUGAAAAGGCUUGAAUAUUUUUGAGGGGCGAUAAGACCCCAUAAAGCUUGAUAAUUUUAUAUGUAAAUAAAUAAGUUGGUAGGGUUUUAUUGUUUACUUACAAAAAUAUUUUGUUGGGGGGGCGAUAAAAUAAUUUGUAACUGUUUGAGGGUUAGAACCAAAAAUAUUUGUGUUUUAAUGAUCCCUUAAAUGUUGGUUUAAAAAUUAAAUUUCUUUUGGGGAAACCGCCUUAUUUUUUUUGGGGGGUCCUAUCGGUAAAAAAAGUUGCGGCCCCGAUGUUGAAUUAAAAUUUUUUCCCUGGGCUCGAUGCUACUGUGAUCAAGACUGAUGACCGGCCCGGC
rnacentral:rRNA from 1 species